rnacentral:rRNA from 1 species
ACUCAAAUGAAUUGACGGGGGCCCGCACAAGCAGCGGAGCGUGUGGAUUAAUUCGAUGCAACGCGAAGAACCUUACCUAGGCUUGACAUGCAUCUGGUACCAACCCGAAAGGGAAGGGACCCGCAAGGGAGGAUGCACAGGUGCUGCAUGGCUGUCGUCAGCUCGUGCCGUGAGGUGUUGGGUUAAGUCCCGCAACGAGCGCAACCCCCGUCCCUAGUUGCUCUUUCUAGGGAGACUGCCGGGCGAACCCCGGAGGAAGGUGGGGACGACGUCAAGUCCGCAUGGCCCUUACGUCUAGGGCUUCACACACGCUACAAUGGCCAGUACAGCGGGUUGCCACUACGCAAGUAGGAGCUAAUCCCCCAAAGCUGGCCUCAGUCCAGAUUGCAGGCUGCAACUCGCCUGCAUGAAGUCGGAGUUGCUAGUAACCGCGCGUCAGCACAGUGCGGUGAAUGCGUUCCCGGGCCUUGUACACACCGCCCGU